rnacentral:rRNA from 1 species
AUUGAACGCUGGCGGAAUGCUUUACACAUGCAAGUCGAACGGCAGCACGGACUUCGGUCUGGUGGCGAGUGGCGAACGGGUGAGUAAUGUAUCGGAACGUGCCCAGUCGUGGGGGAUAACGUAGUGAAAAUUACGCUAAUACCGCAUACGAUCUAUGGAUGAAAGCGGGGGACCGUAAGGCCUCGCGCGAUUGGAGCGGCCGAUAUCAGAUUAGCUAGUUGGUGAGGUAAAGGCUCACCAAGGCGACGAUCAGUAGCUGGUCUGAGAGGACGACCAGCCACACUGGAACUGAGACACGGUCCAGACUCCUACGGGAGGCAGCAGUGGGGAAUUUUGGACAAUGGGCGCAAGCCUGAUCCAGCAAUGCCGCGUGAGUGAAGAAGGCCUUCGGGUUGUAAAGCUCUUUUGUCAGGGAAGAAACGGUUGUGGCUAAUAUCCAUGGCUAAUGACGGUACCUGAAGAAUAAGCACCGGCUAACUACGUGCCAGCCGCCGCAGUAA